rnacentral:rRNA from 1 species
UACGGAGGAUGCAAGCGUUAUCCGGAAUCAUUGGGUUUAAAGGGUCCGUAGGCGGUUUAAUAAGUCAGUGGUGAAAGCCCAUCGCUCAACGAUGGAACGGCCAUUGAUACUGUUAAACUUGAAUUAUUAGGAAGUAACUAGAAUAUGUAGUGUAGCGGUGAAAUGCUUAGAGAUUACAUGGAAUACCAAUUGCGAAGGCAGGUUACUACCAAUAUAUUGACGCUGAUGGACGAAAGCGUGGGGAGCGAACAGG